rnacentral:rRNA from 1 species
UACGAAGGGGGCUAGCGUUGUUCGGAAUUACUGGGCGUAAAGCGCGCGCAGGCGGUUCUCCAAGUCAGUGGUGAAAGCCCGGAGCUCAACUCCGGAACUGCCAUUGAAACUGUUGAACUUGAGGACGAGAGAGGUGAGUGGAAUUCCCAGUGUAGAGGUGAAAUUCGUAGAUAUUGGGGAAGAACACCAGUGGCGAAGGCGGCUCACUGGCUCGUAUCUGACGCUCAGGCGCGAUAGCCGUGGGGAUCAAACAGG